UAAGCGGAGGAAAAGAAACCAACAGGGAUUGCCUUAGUAGCGGCGAGUGAAGCGGCAAAAGCUCAAAUUUGAAAUCUGGCUCUUUCAGAGUCCGAGUUGUAAUUUGAAGAAGGUAUCUUUGGGUCUGGCUCUUGUCUAUGUUUCUUGGAACAGAACGUCACAGAGGGUGAGAAUCCCGUGCGAUGAGAUGAUCCAGGCCUAUGUAAAGUUCCUUCGAAGAGUCGAGUUGUUUGGGAAUGCAGCUCUAAGUGGGUGGUAAAUUCCAUCUAAAGCUAAAUAUUGGCGAGAGACCGAUAGCGAACAAGUACAGUGAUGGAAAGAUGAAAAGAACUUUGAAAAGAGAGUGAAAAAGUACGUGAAAUUGUUGAAAGGGAAGGGCUUGAGAUCAGACUUGGUAUUUUGUAUGUUACUUCUUCGGGGGUGGCCUCUACAGUUUAUCGGGCCAGCAUCAGUUUGGGCGGUAGGAGAAUUGCGUUGGAAUGUGGCACGGCUUCGGUUGUGUGUUAUAGCCUUCGUCGAUACUGCCAGCCUAGACUGAGGACUGCGGUUUAUACCUAGGAUGUUGGCAUAAUGAUCUUAAGUCGCCCGUCUU
rnacentral:rRNA from 1 species